UGAAUAGAUAUAACAUAUGUUUUAGUCUCUGCAGUCUGUUCUCUCGAGCAGAGCUUGUGCCUGGCUAGUGUAAGUACUCACCUUUUUAUUAAUCCAAAUUACCCACCGAUCAAAUACAAACCGAAUACAAUCACUGAAUCAUCUAUCAGCUACUAGUUAAUUAGAUAUGUGCUUGAGGCUUCUGAUGUGGAGCGCUGCGUUUUCUGUCCUUACCUGUCCGAGCUCCGCCUAAUCCAUGGAUGUUUCUUCUUCAGUUCUUCUGCAGAGUAAUUCCGGAAUCUAAAGAUUAAACAAAGUCAUGGGUGAUGGCCUGAUGGGUACCAGCAGGCUAGCAGAGUAGCAGGCAACAGCUGAAAAGGGGGAAUUCUCAAUUCUGUGAUUACAAAAUUAAGUUAAUCAAUUAUGCAUCGAUUCUAUAAAAAACUCCGAACAUCUCCCCCCUCAUCUCCAACACCUCCCCAGCCAAUAGUAAAUGAGUCUCCAAUUGUAGAUGUUCCUGAAUCUUACCCACCAGAUUUAAACCCGG